rnacentral:rRNA from 1 species
CCUACGGGAGGCAGCAGUGGGGGAUAUUGCACAAUGGGGGGAACCCUGAUGCAGCGACGCCGCGUGGGUGAAGAAGCGCCUCGGCGCGUAAAGCCCUGUCAGCAGGGAAGAAAAUGACGGUACCUGACGAAGAAGCACCGUCCAACUACGUUCCAGCAGCGGCGGCAAUACGUAGGGGGCAAGCGUUAUCCGGAUUUAGUGGGUGUUAAGGGGGCGUAGACGGCGAUGCAAGCCAGGAGUGAAAGCCCGGGGCCCAACCCCGGGACUGCUGUUGAAACUGCGUGGCUGGAGUGGAGGAGGGGCAGGCGGAAUGCGGGGUGUAGCGGUGAAAUGCGUAGAUAUCAGGAGGAACACCGGUGGCGAAGGCAGCCUGCUGGACUGCCACUGACGUUGAGGCCCGAAAGCGUGGGGAGCAAACAGGAUUAGAUACCCGAGUAGUC